AAUGAACGUUGGCGGCGUGGAUUAGGCAUGCAAGUCGAGCGAGAACCCCGCAAGGGGGGACGGCGGCAACCGGGGUAGUAACGGGUAGGUGACGUACCCUCGGGUCGGGGAUAGCCACGGGAAACUGUGGGUAAUACCCGAUAAUCUCCUGAAGUGUGAAUGAUUUGGGAGCAAAGGUGUGAUUCCACCUGGGGAGCGGCCUGCUUCGUAUUAGCUAGUUGGUGAGGUAACGGCUCACCAAGGCGACGAUGCGUAGGGGGUGUGAGAGCAUGACCCCCACCACUGGGACUGAGAUACUGCCCAGACACCUACGGGUGGCUGCAGUCGAGAAUCUUCGGCAAUGGGCGCAAGCCUGACCGAGCGACGCCGCGUGUGGGAUGAAGGCCCUUGGGUUGUAAACCACUGUCAGAGGGGAUGAAGUGCCAGAGAGCAAUCUCUCUGGUUUGACAUAGCCUCAGAGGAAGCACGGGCUAAGUUCGUGCCAGCCGCCGCAGUAAUAC
rnacentral:rRNA from 1 species